rnacentral:rRNA from 1 species
CAGCCGCCGCGGUAAUACGUAGGGUGCGAGCGUUAAUCGGAAUUACUGGGCGUAAAGCGUGCGUAGGUGGUGGUUUAAGUCCGUUGUGAAAGCCCUGGGCUCAACCUGGGAAUUGCAGUGGAUACUGGGUCACUAGAGUGUGGUAGAGGAUAGUGGAACUUCCGGUGUAGCAGUGAAAUGCGUAGAGAUCGGAAGGAACAUCUGUGGCGAAGGCGACUAUCUGGGCCAACACAGACACUGAGGCACGAAAGCGUGGGGAGCAAACAGGAUUAGAUACCCCUGUAGUCCCUGUCUCUUAUAC